rnacentral:lncRNA from 1 species
CGCGAGGCGGGCGCUGGGCGGCGCCAGCAGCCCUGUGGUGGCGACGACGAUGGACCAGGAGCCAGUGGGCGGUGUGGAACGAGGAGAAGCCGUCGCAGCCUCGGGAGCUGCGGCCGCCGCGGCAUUCGGGGAAUCUGCAGGGCAGGUAGGUGGGGCCGCCGAGGCUGACGUCCGGGGAGCCGAGCCGCCUCCUUGCCUUCUCCGCGGGCCGCUCUUUUAGCCUGCGCGGCCGUCCUCCGAGCAGGCCGCCCCAGCUUUGGAGUUCCUCCUCACUGCACCCCUGUUUCUGCUCACUGAGACCAGCUUGUGGGAAGGAGCGCCCCCCGCCUCACUCACCAACCCCUUGGCUGGCAGCACAGCAGACUCUGGGGCGGCCUCGGGUUCCUGGGGUGAUAGUCCAGCUUCUGGUCUACCAGAGGAAGAAGAAAGGCGUGUCCCCCAAAGGCUGUCCUUGCAGUAGCUGGAAGCCAGAUGAGUAACGAAAGAGGCUUUGAAAAUGUAGAACUGGGAGUCAUAG